UCAGUGCAGCAUAGCAGUUAGUGUUGGACUAGGACCCGGGAUACUAGGGUACAAGUGUCCAAGGACUCAGUCUUGAGCCAGUCGCUCCCUCUCAGCCCAACCUGCCUUGCAGGGCUGUUGUGAGGAUAAAAUGAGAAGAAGGAGAAAUAGGUAUGUCACUUUUAACUCCUUGGAGGAAAACUGGGAUAUGAAUGUCUUAAACAGAUCAAUAAACAUAACAUCCACGCAGUACUCCUUAAACUGCAUUUUGUACCUGAUGUUCAUCUAUGCUUGUUGUACAACUAGAUUGACAAUAUCACUUCCAAUUUUCCUGACUUGGGACACAGCUGCAAGAUUGAAAGUUUUUGUUUUAGCUUAACCACCAUCUUGCAUGUGAACAGACUGGCUUCAUAAGGACGCAGACUUGGUUCAACCACGCUCUCCUGUAUCUAGGAUUAUUUCAUGUUGCUAAAUACCUGGGACAUGCUCAUCAGCAAAUAGGCUUGCAAUGUAUUCAGAGACACACUGUCUGUAUCUGAUCCUGGGGGCUACGUACAUGAGUGUUAAAACACAGUGAUAGAACUGUAGAGUUGGAAGGGACCCUAAGGGUCAUUUUGUGCAACCCCCUGUAAUGUAGGAAUCACAGAUCAUUUGCCCCUCUGUGUGUUUCAAGUCACUUUUUAAUGUUGCUGUACACACAACAUAGAGGCCCUUCUUCAUGUGCUUCCUCCAUGAUAGGUCCAGAGAAUGGCAACAUGAGAACGGGCCUUUUAUGCGGUGGCUCCCCACUUGUGGAAUGCUUUCACUAGGGAGGCACCAGGCAAAAACAUUCCUCUCUUCCCAUGCCUUUAUUUAUGGCCGUUUAAAAUGUGUGUGUGGUAUUGUUUUUGUUUGUUAUUAUGGUGUGUAUUUUUGGGUUUUUAUAUUGUAAACCACCCUGUGAUCCUCAGAUGAAGGGCAGUAUUGAAAUUUUAACAACCACCACCUGAUUUGUUCCACAAUAUCAAACUCCUUUUAAACAAAACUGGCACCUGAGCAUGUGCAACAGUUGUCUCAAAUGUACACACGUCCGGAUGGAAGAUGGU